rnacentral:rRNA from 1 species
UACGGAGGGUGCAAGCGUUAUCCGGAUUCACUGGGUUUAAAGGGUGCGUAGGUGGCUUUGUAAGUCAGCGGUGAAAGCCUGGAGCUCAACUCCAGAAUUGCCAUUGAUACUGCAGAGCUUGAAUCAAGUUGAGGUGGAUGGAAUAUUACAUGUAGCGGUGAAAUGCCUAGAUAUGUAAUAGAACACCGAUUGCGAAGGCAGUUCACUAAGCUUGUAUUGACACUGAGGCAUGAAAGCGUGGGGAUCAAACAGG